GAUGAACGCUGGCGGCGUGCCUAAUACAUGCAAGUCGAGCGAACGGACGAGAAGCUUGCUUCUCUGAUGUUAGCGGCGGACGGGUGAGUAACACGUGGAUCACCUACCUAUAAGACUGGGCUAACUUCGGGAAACCGGAGCUAAUACCGGAUAAUAUUUUGAACCGCAUGGUUCAAAAGUGAAAGACGGUCUUGCUGUCACUUAUAGAUGGAUCCGCGCUGCAUUAGCAAGUUGGUAAGGUAACGGCUUACCAAGGCAACGAUGCAUAGCCGACCUGAGAGGGGGAUCGGCCACACGGGAGCUGCUGCACGGUCCAGACUCCUACGGGAGGCAGCAGUCGGGAAUUUACCGCGAUGGGCGAUAGCCUGACGGAGCAACUCCGCGCGUGUGAUGAUGGUCCUCGGAUCGUAAAACUCUGUUAUUAGGGAAGAACAUAUGUGCAAGUAACUGGGCACAUCUUGACGGUACCUAAUAAGAAAGCCACGGCUAACUACGUG
rnacentral:rRNA from 1 species